AACCCCUACUCCUCAGAUUUCUUCAUACCAAACGCCACCUUAUACUCCCUCUCUCUCAUCCCUUUCCCCUUUCCCCUAAAAACCUAAGGCGCCAUCCUUCGUUUUCCCUCUCUCAUGCCAGAUAUGGCAAAGAUGUAGAGCUCUCAGACUUUUGACAGUCUUUGCAUAACCCAAAGAGUGAAACAAUUAAUGUUUCAACAUGAUUUCACUCAAAUUCGUCCCAAACGCGCAUCAAAGGCUCCAAAUUCGAUUCUUGACACGGUUGCACACAAAAAGGUAACAUUUUAUCUUGUUUUUGCUCUUUUAGUUUAUAUCUUUCUUAAGUAUGAUGUAGUGUGUUCAAUUAAUAGGUGUUUAGUUUAAAAUAUUAGUUGCUUAAGCAUGAUUAUUGUCCUGGCAUGUGUUUCAAGUUUAUGGAAGAUUAAUAUGGUUUAUUCUAGACAGUACACUUGAAUAGGACACUUGUUUUAGUUGUGUAAAUUACCAAUGGAAUUCCACAUUGUUUGAGUACUAACUUGGGUUGUGUAAUCUGCGAAUGAGGGUAUUUUAACUUGACGGUCUCUUUUAAAUGUUGCUUGAAUCAUAGCUCAAUUACCUAAUGUGAGUGAUGCUUAACUGUGAGACCCAAAAUAAAUGACUUGACCUCUAAUGGUACUGUUUAAUCUUGUUUGAACCCUUUAAUCACUGAUGUUUGGAUUACAAGACUUUACUGGUUUAAAUUAGAUGAAAUUGUGGUAACUUUUAUUUGAGGUGACUUAGAAGAUUUGUUGGUUUAUUGGUUCAAGUACACUGAUUUGAGAAUUUUAAACCUACUUUGAUCUAAACAUGCUUGCUCUCUUAUCAUGCUGAUUGUAUAGGUCAUAGCUAGAUUAAGUAAAGAGUUAUAGUUGGUCCAAACAGGAUUUAAUGAUGUCUAAACAUGCUUAUACAAGCCUUAAGAUGUGAUCAAGGUGCUUGAAUGUGAUUGAGUAAGGUCCAAUUGCUUCUAAAUGUGUGUAAAUCUACCUGAGUGUACCUAAAUCUGAUAGAUUCUAUUGAAAUGGCACAAGGAUGGCCUUAAUGCAAUCUAGCGGUAUAUGAUAAGCCUGAAACGGGUAAAGAGUCCCAGUUUGAACCAUGUGAGUUUAAAGUAAAAAGAUAGAUUGAUUCUCAUCUUAAGCGGACUACGGAUAAUCUAAAAAUGGUAUUUCAUUUGCUGAGUGUCCAUAAGUAGAGAGGUAAUAUACAAUUACCAUGAAAGAAUGGGUGAACUUCAGAAGAAGGUAUCUGGAUCUUGAGUUUGAGGUCUGUGUGUCCAUAAGGGUCCUGCUUUUGUGCAUCUUUCCUGACCUAGAUAGUCAAGUAUGUCCAGAACCUUUUUUUUUUUUUUUUUUUUUUUUUUUAGAAAUGACAUUUGACAUUUAUUUUAGUUAUGAUGAAAUACAAAAUGAAACUGGACACAUACCCUUAGCUUAACUGGUCUUGAAGAAUAGUAUGCAUGAUCAUCUAAAUUUCUUGAGUGAAGGAAGUCUUGAAAUGGUUCAGGGAUUGUAGGCUAAUAGUAAGAUAAUUGAAGAGUCCAUCUGCAUUAAUGUUUUUGAUAAGCACUUAGUUGGGAAUGAUUAAAUGAUAAGAAUCUUGUGUAAUCAUGUGGACUUGUGAAGCAUACUAAAGAUCACAUGGCAUGUGGAGGAGCCUUUUUAAAGGUGCCUUAGGGGAGGAUCAAGGGGAACCAAAUACCACUUAGUUCAUAAUAUUUGUCCUCCAAAUAAGAGGCACCAUGGCACUUCUAUGAGCCUAUGGGGUGUAUGUUUGCUACAUAAGUGCAUUGUGAUCUCAUAAAUUCCAUCAUUUGACACAGGGGAGUAAGGACUAAGGCCAAAUCUUUGUUUAAGUUGUUUCCCUUUAGCUAAAAGCAAAUGGUGAAACUGUGAAUGUGUAAUUGAGGGAUUCUGUGCAAAGGGAGAAGAGUUUUGACUAAACAUUGAGACUUGAAUACUAAUAUCUAUUUUGGAUGAAAUACUAAACCAUGAAAGCCAUUUAGACUGCCUAAAUGGCUAGUGUGACACCUUUCUUUUAGGUAGCCUGCUGAGAUUGAAAUGCAUGAUUGUUCUUUUCUUCUUUUGUCAUCUUACUCAAGUCAUAGCCUCUGUGAAAUCUUCAUACCUUUCUUGUGCAUCUUUAUUACUGAACCUGAAUGAGACCUAUCUUUGCCACCUCUAUGCUAUUUCUGACUAUUAGAGUUUAAUGAAAUCCUAUUUUUGAUGCCACUUCUUUUGCAUAAAACUGCAAUCUGUGCAUCUGCAUCUGGUAUCUUAGAACUUGCUUCCUUCUGAUGUUGACUGAGUCUUUGAUUUGAGGACACAACUAUGCCAUCAACUUUCUUUUAAAGAUCUGCUUAGAUUAAAUGUUUUGAGGAAUCACUAUUAGGAACUAAGAUUUGAUCCAAGAUUGUUUGACUGAUUUCUUACAUGACAUGCCUCUGUAAUCCCCUCUCUUGAAGGUUUUGAGUGUACAUACAUGUAGGAAUUAACAUUGGUUCUAAUCAGUAGGUACUAUUGUCAUAUGUUGGAUUUGUAAAAGAAAUAUGAGUUAAACCAUUUAGUCCAAAUGUAUUCUUUAAGCUACAAGACCCUUCCAAGACUCUUCUCUGAAAUGAAUUAGUGCAAUGUUCCAAGUGGGAACCUGCCUGCUAUGUCCAUUCUUCAAUUGUCUUUGUCUUUGAUCUAAAAUCUAAUGACUUGCUUACACAGUUUUUGACUAUUUGGCUUCCUGCACCUCUGAGAAUGUCUUGCCUACAUGAUAAAUUACCAUUGCUUGACCAUCUAGUUGUAUGCAUCUCUGGGACUGGGUUGAGUAGAGUUUAUGACAUGGCAUGACCCGUGGAGAGUUUAGACCUACUGGUGAUAAUUCUGUGAAGUUAAAAGGACUUGAGUGGCCUACUAAUGACAAGCUGACCCAUGCUAUGACUCUGAAUAAAUUAAUGAGACUUAUGGGGCUUAGACAUGGUUAUGGCCCUAACUUAAAUGAUCCUGCCUGUUUAUAUGUACAUGAUUCUGUCUGUUUAUCUGUCUAUUAGUUGUUUUCUAUGGAUUGCUGUGUCCUGCAAUGAUUAGUUGGAAUCAAGUAGGCCUGAUUUUGUAUGUUCAUUCAUACCAUGCCUAUUUGUUUCAGUUCUGUUUGAUUAUGCUACAUCUGUGCAAGUCAAUUUGCUUAGGAUCAUACCAUGCCUACUUGUUUCAGUUUUACCUUGGUUAUACUACAUCUAUGCUGCAAUAUGCUCCUGUUCAUAUCAUGCCUAUUUUCUUCAGUUUUGCCUUUAGUUAUGCUACAUCCAUGUUGCAAUCUGCUUCUGCCCAUACUAUGCCUAUUUGUUUCAGUUUUGCCCUUGGCUAUACUAUAUUUGUGUGUGUCAAUUCCCUCCCAUCAUACAUUGCCUAUUUGUUCCAGUUUGCCUCUGGUUAUACUAUGUCCAUACGUAUCAAUCUAUACAAUACCUAUAUAUGAUUGUGGAAUUCUAUUAUUUCUCCUAUGGCUGUACUGGUUGGGAGGAUGAGGUAAUUUUGGGGUCGGGUCUUAGCCUUCCCCUGAUGUCCUGCCAUGCCUGAGGUUCAUGAAACCUCUUGGAUCUUGUGCGGCAUCAGGAAUACGGAUGGUGAUGGCCUCCCCCCCCCCCUUUUAUUGUCUAUAUACCUACUAGUGGAGCCCAAUAGCAUAUAUACAAACACUUUAACUGCAUGACUUGUGAAUGAAUUUGAUAUAUAUAUAUAUAUGUAUAUAUAUAUAUGUGUGUGUGUGUGUGUGUGUGAUGAGUUCAGUAGAUUGAAACUAACCGGGUCCCUCUUCUCUUUUCUCCCUCCACUGCAUGGGCCACUUGGGCCGAUCAAGCCAACAUGUUGGGCCAAGGCCCAACAGGCAAUUCUUUCGCAUCAUCGAGUCCGAGAAGAAUAAAAAAGGGAAGCUAACAUAUGUAUUAAACGCGUAGAAAGCCCAACCAUGGGUGAAAAUGGCCAACUAGGGGUUUGGUACGCCCCUAGCCUUCCCUUUCCUUUUUUAAUUAGUUAUUUAUGUUUUCCUUUUAUUUUGUAAAGUUGUUGUAUUCAUACUUGUAAGAAUUUGUAAAACUCUAUUAUAGUGGAAUCUUUAUGAUUACGAAC